UGCCGGAAGUCCAUGAACAUGCCGCAAAAUCGAGAAAAAGAUACUAAUCAGACAUGGUUCAACAAAUAAAUCAGACAAACGUGCUUCACGCCUAGCCCUGGAUACUGAUUUUCUGGAAACAGAUUUCGACAUCUCAUUUAGGCAAAACAACAAACAAGUGAUAUGCGCUUGAAUAUGACUGUUUCAGAUUCAAUUUCAGUAUCAUUCACAGCCUCGACACCAUAUAUGAAGCUCUAAAUCAUCACUAUCCCUCACGGGUCGGUCCCGUUUCGCGAAAUUCAUUCAGAAUUUCGUCGGCGAACCCAGCGUUUCAAGCUUCGGUUCGGUAGGAGAAAACAGGGCAAACUAGAUGAAGUUUUUACGUGGUCCGUUCGGUGAGGUGAAAUCGCUGGAAUCAGAGUCGAUGAAGCUCGAAAACAUUGUAGGAAGACACCGUUCCUCUGUCCUCCAGACUGCGAACCAUUCUAGCUUCGUCCUUUCCGACCAGCCGUGACAAAGAUCGGUGGCCGGCGGUCAGAAACGCCCUCAAAAGCCCGAAUCUCUGAGAAUCGGUCGACUGAGAGAGGAUUUUUCGUGAUCUUCAGCUUCCACCCCUCAAAAAUCCGAUCCUCCUCUCUCUAUAUCUCUAUCUCUCCUCUUCCUUGGCCGAACAUCUCGACGAAAAAACAAGCCCACAAGGAAUAGGAAUCUGAAAACGGAAUUCUGUUCUCUCUAGCUCAGCUUCUUCUAGAAAAUGAAAUGGGCUAAGAGGGCGGAGUAGAAAAGAAGGAAAAGGAUGGGCUGGAGAAAAUUGAGAAACACGAGAUUGACU
rnacentral:lncRNA from 1 species